rnacentral:rRNA from 1 species
UACGAAGGGGACUAGCGUUGUUCGGAAUUACUGGGCGUAAAGCGCGCGUAGGCGGAUCGCUAAGUCAGGGGUGAAAUCCCAGGGCUCAACCCUGGAACUGCCUUUGAUACUGACGAUCUGGAGAUCGGGAGAGGUUGGUGGAAUUCCGAGUGUAGAGGUGAAAUUCGUAGAUAUCGGGUAGAACACCAGUGGCGAAGGCGGCUAUCUGGACGGUAACUGACGCUGAGACGCGAAAGCGUGGGGAGCAAACAGG